AUUGAACGCUGGCGGCAUGCCUUACACAUGCAAGUCGAACGGUAACGGGCCUUCGGGUGCCGACGAGUGGCGGACGGGUGAGUAAUGUAUCGGAACGUACCUUUCAGUGGGGGAUAACGUAGCGAAAGUUACGCUAAUACCGCAUAUUCUGUGCGCAGGAAAGCAGGGGAUCGCAAGACCUUGCGCUGAUUGAGCGGCCGAUAUCAGAUUAGCUAGUUGGUGAGGUAAAGGCUCACCAAGGCGACGAUCUGUAGCGGGUCUGAGAGGAUGAUCAGCCACACUGGGACUGAGACACGGCCCAGACUCCUACGGGAGGCAGCAGUGGGGAAUUUUGGACAAUGGGGGCAACCCUGAUCCAGCCAUUCCGCGUGAGUGAAGAAGGCCUUCGGGUUGUAAAGCUCUUUCGGCAGGAACGAAACGGUAGUUACUAAUACUAGCUGCUAAUGACGGUACCUGAAGAAGAAGCACCGGCUAACUACGUGCCAGCCGCCGCAGUAACAC
rnacentral:rRNA from 1 species